rnacentral:rRNA from 1 species
AUUGAACGCUGGCGGCAGGCCUAACACAUGCAAGUCGAGCGGAUGAAGGGAGCUUGCUCCUGGAUUCAGCGGCGGACGGGUGAGUAAUGCCUAGGAAUCUGCCUGGCAGUGGGGGAUAACGUCCGGAAACGGGCGCUAAUACCGCAUACGUCCUGAGGGAGAAAGUGGGGGAUCUUCGGACCUCACGCUAUCAGAUGAGCCUAGGUCGGAUUAGCUAGUUGGUGGGGUAAAGGCCUACCAAGGCGACGAUCCGUAACUGGUCUGAGAGGAUGAUCAGUCACACUGGAACUGAGACACGGUCCAGACUCCUACGGGAGGCAGCAGUGGGGAAUAUUAGACAAUGGGCGAAAGCCUGAUCCAGCCAUGCCGCGUGUGUGAAGAAGGUCUUCGGAUUGUAAAGCACUUUAAGUUGGGAGGAAGGGCAGUAAGUUAAUACCUUGCUGUUUUGACGUUACCAACAGAAUAAGCACCGGCUAACUUCGUG